rnacentral:rRNA from 1 species
AGCGUACACGGUGGAUGCCCUGGCAGUCAGAGGCGAUGAAGGACGUGCUAAUCUGCGAUAAGCGUCGGUAAGGUGAUAUGAACCGUUAUAACCGGCGAUUUCCGAAUGGGGAAACCCAGUGUGUUUCGACACACUAUCAUUAACUGAAUCCAUAGGUUAAUGAGGCGAACCGGGGGAACUGAAACAUCUAAGUACCCCGAGGAAAAGAAAUCAACCGAGAUUCCCCCAGUAGCGGCGAGCGAACGGGGAGCAGCCCAGAGCCUGAAUCAGUGUGUGUGUUAGUGGAAGCGUCUGGAAAGGCGCGCGAUACAGGGUGACAGCCCCGUACACAAAAAUGCACAUACUGUGAGCUCGAUGAGUAGGGCGGGACACGUGGUAUCCUGUCUGAAUAUGGGGGGACCAUCCUCCAAGGCUAAAUACUCCUGACUGACCGAUAGUGAACCAGUACCGUGAGGGAAAGGCGAAAAGAACCCCGGCGAGGGGAGUGAAAAAGAACCUGAAACCGUGUACGUACAAGCAGUGGGAGCCUCUUUAUGGGGUGACUGCGUACCUUUUGUAUAAUGGGUCAGCGACUUAUAUUCUGUAGCAAGGUUAACCGAAUAGGGGAGCCGAAGGGAAACCGAGUCUUAACUGGGCGUUAAGUUGCAGGGUAUAGACCCGAAACCCGGUGAUCUAGCCAUGGGCAGGUUGAAGGUUGGGUAACACUAACUGGAGGACCGAACCGACUAAUGUUGAAAAAUUAGCGGAUGACUUGUGGCUGGGGGUGAAAGGCCAAUCAAACCGGGAGAUAGCUGGUUCUCCCCGAAAGCUAUUUAGGUAGCGCCUCGUGAAUUCAUCUCCGGGGGUAGAGCACUGUUUCGGCAAGGGGGUCAUCCCGACUUACCAACCCGAUGCAAACUGCGAAUACCGGAGAAUGUUAUCACGGGAGACACACGGCGGGUGCUAACGUCCGUCGUGAAGAGGGAAACAACCCAGACCGCCAGCUAAGGUCCCAAAGUCAUGGUUAAGUGGGAAACGAUGUGGGAAGGCCCAGACAGCCAGGAUGUUGGCUUAGAAGCAGCCAUCAUUUAAAGAAAGCGUAAUAGCUCACUGGUCGAGUCGGCCUGCGCGGAAGAUGUAACGGGGCUAAACCAUGCACCGAAGCUGCGGCAGCGACACUAUGUGUUGUUGGGUAGGGGAGCGUUCUGUAAGCCUGUGAAGGUGUGCUGUGAGGCAUGCUGGAGGUAUCAGAAGUGCGAAUGCUGACAUAAGUAACGAUAAAGCGGGUGAAAAGCCCGCUCGCCGGAAGACCAAGGGUUCCUGUCCAACGUUAAUCGGGGCAGGGUGAGUCGACCCCUAAGGCGAGGCCGAAAGGCGUAGUCGAUGGGAAACAGGUUAAUAUUCCUGUACUUGGUGUUACUGCGAAGGGGGGACGGAGAAGGCUAUGUUGGCCGGGCGACGGUUGUCCCGGUUUAAGCGUGUAGGCUGGUUUUCCAGGCAAAUCCGGAAAAUCAAGGCUGAGGCGUGAUGACGAGGCACUACGGUGCUGAAGCAACAAAUGCCCUGCUUCCAGGAAAAGCCUCUAAGCAUCAGGUAACAUCAAAUCGUACCCCAAACCGACACAGGUGGUCAGGUAGAGAAUACCAAGGCGCUUGAGAGAACUCGGGUGAAGGAACUAGGCAAAAUGGUGCCGUAACUUCGGGAGAAGGCACGCUGAUAUGUAGGUGAAGUCCCUCGCGGAUGGAGCUGAAAUCAGUCGAAGAUACCAGCUGGCUGCAACUGUUUAUUAAAAACACAGCACUGUGCAAACACGAAAGUGGACGUAUACGGUGUGACGCCUGCCCGGUGCCGGAAGGUUAAUUGAUGGGGUCAGCGCAAGCGAAGCUCUUGAUCGAAGCCCCGGUAAACGGCGGCCGUAACUAUAACGGUCCUAAGGUAGCGAAAUUCCUUGUCGGGUAAGUUCCGACCUGCACGAAUGGCGUAAUGAUGGCCAGGCUGUCUCCACCCGAGACUCAGUGAAAUUGAACUCGCUGUGAAGAUGCAGUGUACCCGCGGCAAGACGGAAAGACCCCGUGAACCUUUACUAUAGCUUGACACUGAACAUUGAGCCUUGAUGUGUAGGAUAGGUGGGAGGCUUAGAAGUGUGGACGCCAGUCUGCAUGGAGCCGACCUUGAAAUACCACCCUUUAAUGUUUGAUGUUCUAACGUGGACCCGUGAUCCGGGUUGCGGACAGUGUCUGGUGGGUAGUUUGACUGGGGCGGUCUCCUCCUAAAGAGUAACGGAGGAGCACGAAGGUUGGCUAAUCCUGGUCGGACAUCAGGAGGUUAGUGCAAUGGCAUAAGCCAGCUUGACUGCGAGCGUGACGGCGCGAGCAGGUGCGAAAGCAGGUCAUAGUGAUCCGGUGGUUCUGAAUGGAAGGGCCAUCGCUCAACGGAUAAAAGGUACUCCGGGGAUAACAGGCUGAUACCGCCCAAGAGUUCAUAUCGACGGCGGUGUUUGGCACCUCGAUGUCGGCUCAUCACAUCCUGGGGCUGAAGUAGGUCCCAAGGGUAUGGCUGUUCGCCAUUUAAAGUGGUACGCGAGCUGGGUUUAGAACGUCGUGAGACAGUUCGGUCCCUAUCUGCCGUGGGCGCUGGAGAACUGAGGGGGGCUGCUCCUAGUACGAGAGGACCGGAGUGGACGCAUCACUGGUGUUCGGGUUGUCAUGCCAAUGGCACUGCCCGGUAGCUAAAUGCGGAAGAGAUAAGUGCUGAAAGCAUCUAAGCACGAAACUUGCCCCGAGAUGAGUUCU